ensembl:lncRNA
GGUGCCAAGGUGGCGGUCUGGGCUUCUUCCCACCCCGGGGAAGGUGCAGAGCCCAUGACAAGCAGCCUGGUGGCGGUGCUCCCCCUGGUCCUCAUUAACUCAGUUCCUGUAAGUUCCUUUGCACCAGGACUCGGGCUGAAGGAGCAGCCCCUAAAUAUGACAUCCGGCAACAGGCCUACUGAUCCAUCAACAUUGCUCUGCCCCAUCCUAACCAUGGAAAGCGGACAUCCACUUCCGCACAGGAAGAUCACAGAUGCAAAAGCCCUUCCUGAGAAACUGCAAUCAUGAACUGCAAUGCAACCUGCCACCUUGUAGAUUUCUUUCCAUGAGCACAUAGAAAGGUGGAACUCUGGAGAGGCCCUUAGAAGAAAAACUUGGGAGAUUCCUGCUACCGGGAUAAAUUGAAAACCCAAUUCUAAAACACACUGAUUGCUC